GUCACAUGAUGAAAUCCUAACCCCCAAUGUGAUGAUAUUUGGACGUGAGGCCUUUGAGGUGUGAUUAGGUCAAGAGGGUAGAGUCCUCAUGAAUGGGACUAGUGCAUUUAUAGAGGAGACCCCAGACAGCUCCCUUACCCCUUCUGCCGUGUGAAGAUAUGGUGGGAAGAUGGGCAGCUGUGAACCAGGAAGUGGGUUCUCACAAGACACAGGAUCUGCUUGCACUUUGAUCUUGGACUUCCCAGCCUCUAGAACUAAGGCAUACAAAUGGCCAACAACUACAUGAAAAGGCGCUCAAUAUCACUAAUCAUCUGGGAAACGGAAGUGAAAACCACAAUGAGAUAUCACCUUGCACCUGUUAGAAUGCCUGUCAUCACAAAGAUAAGAGCUAGGAAGUGUUGUUGAGAAUCUGGAGAAAAGGGAGUCCUUGCACACGGUUGGUGGCUAUGUGAAUUGGUACAGCUAUUAUGGAAAACAGCAUGGAGGUUCCUUAAAAACUAAAAAUAGAACUACCAUACAAUGCAGCAAUCUCUUUUCUUGGUAUAAACUCAAAGGAAAUAAAAUCAGCACCUUGGAGAGGUAUCUGUGUUCUCAUGUUCAUUACAGCAUUAUUUGCAGUAGCCAAGAGAGGGAAACAACCUAAGCAUAUGUUGAUGGAUGAAUGGAUGAAAAAUUGUGAAAGAAAGACUUCAGAGUUAAAGAUUAGCCACCAGAAAUCAUACUUAAAAGAAUGUCCCUCAGGUUCUGAAGCAUUCCCCAAAUGAAAUGAGGAGCAGCAAAUCAUCAAAACUGCUAUUUAACUUUCCAAGAGAUGGCUGUGAAGACAAUCACCCAUUUGAACAAGUGAUUCCAAAUCUUCUUGGGAAAAACAGUUGGUUAUUUUCUUUAGAAUUCUGUCACUUCGAGAGUCUGAAUGGAGUUCUUAAAAAAAAAAAAAAAACCAAAUGUGGUGGCUUUCAGUCAGAGACAUUGGGCUCCAUCCCUUAGCAGCUAUGUGACCUUGGGCUUGUCACUUAACUUUGUUGAGUCUCAAAUCCACCAUCUUUGAGCACGGAUGAUGAUCAGUUCCAAAUUUAUAUCUCUGGCCCUGACAUCUCAUCAUAUUUCAGACUUGUAUUUCCUGCUGCCUAUGGAACAUCAAUUUAUAAACCAGAUAUCUGGGA